rnacentral:rRNA from 1 species
CUACGGGUGGCAGCAGUGGGGAAUAUUGGACAAUGGGGGAAACCCUGAUCCAGCAAUACCGCGUGUGUGAAGAAGGCCUGCGGGUUGUAAAGCACUUUCGGUUGGGAGGGCUGCUUCUAGCACUAAUAUUGUUGGAAGUUGACGUUACCUUCAGAAGAAGCACCGGCUAACUCCGUGCCAGCAGCCGCGGUAAUACGGAGGGUGCAAGCAGUUAAUCGGAAUUACUGGGCGUAAAGCGCGCGUAGGGGGCUAGAUCAGUCGGGUGUGAAAGCCCCGGGCUUAACCUGGGAACUGCAUCCGAUACUGUCUAGCUUGAGUACAGGAGAGGAGAGUGGAAUUCCACAUGUAGCGGUGAAAUGCGUAGAUAUGUGGAGGAACACCAAUGGCGAAGGCAGCUCUCUGGCCUGAUACUGACGCUGAGGUGCGAAAGCGUGGGGAGCAAACAGGAUUAGAUACCCUUGUAGUC